UCAGAGCCAAGGUUACUCGUCAAUUUUCAGUUAAAAGUACAAAACGAGCGGGUUUAAUUCGUCUGCAGUCAUCAUGGAAAGUGAUACUGACAAAGUUGUUACUUGUGCUGCGUAUGUGGUGCUUAUUUAAAAUUACAACAAAAAAUAAAACAAAAAAAUAAGAGGCGAUGCUGGAUGGUGUCUUUAAAUAAGAGUAGAAACAGAUACAACGCUUCUGACAUGUUGCAAGAUUUAAUCCGCGAACCUUCUGGACAGUUUGAAAAUUUUUGUAGGAUGUCCGCAGAUGACUUCAACUUUUUUUUUAAUAAAAUUGGUCCACUGAUAGUAAAAAAAGAUACGAAUAUGAGGAAAGCAAUCCCCAAGAAAGAUUUGCUGUUGCUCUUAGGUUUCUAGCUUCUGGAGAAAGUUUUAAUAGCCUUUCCUAACUCUUCAAGUUCUCAGCACAAACAGUUUCAACGCGCGUAUUUGACGUAUGUAAUGUUUUGAUAACUGUUCUACAGGAUGAGAUAAAGAUGCCUAAAACAUCGCAAGAAUGGAAAGCAAUAGCUUUCGAGUUUAAUAAAAAAUUGAACUUUCCCCACUGCUUGGGCGCCUUGGAUGGGAAACAUAUAGUUAUCCAGUCUCCUAUGAAUAGUGCAUCUGAAUUUUAUAAUUAUAAACACAAUUUUAGUAUAGUUUUAAUGGCCUUAGUAGAUGCUAAUUACUGCUUUACAUUUGCUGACAUUGGGUGCCAAGGACGAAUUAGUGACAGCGGUGUUUUCAGAAAUACGAUUUUAUUUAAGAAAUUACACGCAGAAAACCUAAUGGUUCUCGAAGAUGAGCCACUGCCUAUGACACAUAUACCCAUUCCAUAUUUGUUGCAGAUGAUGCGUUUGCAUUAGGACCUCAUUUAAUGAAACCAUUUGCAGGAAUUUAUGAAAAAGGCACCAAAGAAAGAAUUUUCAAUUAUCGUUUGUCGCGAGCUAGGCGAAUAGUUGAAAACGUUUUUGGGAUAAUGGCAGCGAUAUUUAGAGUUUUUGGAAAACCAAUGCAACUCGAACCCGAAAAAGCUUCAAAAGUAGUUUUGACUUGUGUUUUGUUACAUAUUUUUUUAAGAAGAAGCAGAUCCUCCACACACGUAUAUACUCCACCAGGAACUUUUGAUACGGAAAAGGAUGGACAUACUGUUCCAGGAUCAUAGAGGCAAGACCAAAGGCUGGAUUCAUUUUUUUUGUCACUUUAAAAAAUACCAAGAAAAGCUGGCCGCCAAGCGCAAGACAUAGGAAAUUCAUUUUCUGAUUAUUUUAUAA